rnacentral:rRNA from 1 species
AGCGAGCGGAACUAACAGAUUUACUUCGGUAAUGACGUUAGGAAAGCGAGCGGCGGAUGGGUGAGUAACACGUGGGGAACCUGCCCCAUAGUCUGGGAUACCACUUGGAAACGAGGUGCUAAUACCGGAUAAGAAGCAGAUCGCAUGAUCAGCUUUUAAAAAGGCGGCGUAAGCUGUCGCUAUGGGAUGGCCCCGCGGUGCAUUAGCUAGUUGGUAAGGUAAAGGCUUACCAAGGCGAUGAUGCAUAGCCCGAGUUGAGAGACUGAUCGGGCCACAUCGGGGACUGAGACACGGGGGCCCAAACUCCUACGGGGGGGAGGGGCAGCAGUAGGGGGAAUCUUCCACAAUGGACGCAAGUCUGAUGGAGCAACGCCGCGUGAGUGAAGAAGGUUUUCGGAUCGUAAAGCUCUGUUGUUGGUGAAGAAGGAUAGAGGUAGUAACUGGCCUUUAUUUGACGGUAAUCAACCAGAAAGUCACGGCUAACUACGUGCCAGCAGCCGCGGUAAU